CCUACGGGAGGCAGCAGGGAGGAAUAUUGGUCAAUGGCCGGAAGGCUGAACCAGCCAAGUCGCGGGAAGGAAGAAGGAUCUAUGGUGUGUAAACUUCUUUUAUAGGGGAAUAAAGGUAGCCACGUGUGGAUAUUUGCAUGUACCCUAUGAAUAAGCAUCGGCUAACUCCGUGCCAGCAGCCGCGGUAAGACGGAGGAUGCGAGCGUUAUCCGGAUUUAUUGGGUUUAAAGGGUGCGUAGUUUGUUUUUUAAGUCAGCGGUGAAAGUUUGUGGCUCAACCAUAAAAUUGCCGUUGAAACGGGUAGCCUUGAGUGUGUUUGAGGUAGGCGGAUUGCGUGGUGUAGCGGUG
rnacentral:rRNA from 1 species